AUGCAGUCAGUUAAGCCUACCAGUUCCUCUUGGUGGCCCCAUGUGCAAACAGCAGCCUCCUUUGGUAAUGUACAUAACCUGUUGCUUGUAUAGGUUGCUCUGAGGGACCUUGGAGACAGUU
rnacentral:snoRNA from 1 species